rnacentral:rRNA from 1 species
AUACGGAGGGGGCAAACGUUGUUGGGAAUUACUGGGCGUAAAGCGCGCGUAGGCGGUUUGUUAAGUCAGAUGUGAAAGUCCACAGCUCAACUGUGGAAGUGCAUUUGAAACUGGCAGACUUGAGUACUGGAGGGGGUGGUGGAAUUCCCGGUGUAGAGGUGAAAUUCGUGGAUAUCGGGAGGAAUACCGGUGGCGAAGGCGACCACCUGGCCAGAUACUGACGCUGAGGUGCGAAAGCGUGGGGAGCAAACAGGAUUAGAAACCCUAGUAGUCC